GCUGGAUGCGACGCUGUCUCUGCUGGGAACCUGUUCUGGGGCUGUGGGCUCCGUCCAGGCUGUGUCGGAGCUUCAGGGAGGGAAUAUGAGACAGAAAAUCCCUCUCCACAUCCUGCCUCGGGUCCCUGAAGGGUGCUCAAGGACCAGGGUCACCCCCGGCCAAUGAGAACAGCUAUGGGCUCGAUCUGAACAGUGAUGACUCCACAGAUGAUGAGAGCAACCCACGGAAACCCGUCCCUGCCUGGGCUGAUGGGGCACAGCUCCAGCAGGCCAUCAUGCACCAGUACUACAACCCCCCUGACCUGGACGUGCUGUUUGGGGCCAUCCCCAGCCCCAGGCUGGAGCACAUCUUCUACAAGAGCAAACCCCGCUACUUCAAGCGCACGAGCUCAGCCGUGUGGCACUCCCCACCUGGCCCCUCCUGCGGCCCCUCCUGCACCUUCCAGAGCUGAGCCACGGCAGCAAAAGGGGUUUCUAGGGACUGUCUUCUACUUACCCUGUGUUUACAAUUUUAACUUCUUUUUUUCCUUCUUCUGUACAGAAAUAAAGUUGUUUAAU